rnacentral:rRNA from 1 species
UACGGAGGGUGCAAGCGUUAAUCGGAAUUACUGGGCGUAAAGCGCACGCAGGUGGCUGAGUAAGUCGAUUGUGAAAGCCCUGGGCUUAACCUGGGAAUUGCAGUCGAAACUACUCGGCUAGAGUAUGGGAGAGGGCAGUGGAAUUCCCGGUGUAGCGGUGAAAUGCGUAGAUAUCGGGAAGAACACCUAUGGCGAAGGCAGCUCUCUGGGACGGUACUGACGCUGAGACGCGAAAGCGUGGGGAGCGAACAGG